rnacentral:rRNA from 1 species
CAGGAUUAGAUACCCUGGUAGUCCACGCCCUAAACGAUGAAUGUUAGUCGUCGGGUAGCUAGUCUAUUCGGUGAUGCAGCUAACGCAUUAAACAUUCCGCCUGGGGAGUACGGUCGCAAGAUUAAAACUCAAAGGAAUAGACGGGGACCCGCACAAGUGGUGGAGCAUGUGGUUUAAUUCGAAGAUACGCGAAGAACCUUACCUAGCCUUGACAUAUUUUAGAACUCACCAGAGAUGGAGAGGUGCCUUCGGGAGCUAAUUUACAGGUGCUGCACGGCUGUCGUCAGCUCGUGUCGUGAGAUGUUGGGUUAAGUCCCGCAACGAGCGCAACCCUCGUCACUAGUUACUAACGAUUCGGUCGAGGACUCUAGUGAGACUGCCUUCGUAAGGAGGAGGAAGGUGAGGACGACGUCAAGUCAUCAUGGCCCUUACGGCUAGGGCAACACACGUGCUACAAUGGUUGGGACAGUGAGACGCGAUACCGCGAGGUGGAGCAAAUCUAUAAACCCAAUCUCAGUUCGGAUUGUAGUCUGCAACUCGACUACAUGAAGCUGGAAUCACUAGUAAUCGUAGAUCAGCUAUGCUACGGUGAAUACGUUCCCGGGUCUUGUACUCACCGCCCGUCACACCAUGGGAGUUGAUUUCACCCGAAGCGGGGAAGCUAAAUUGGCUACCCUCCACGGUGGAAUUAGCGACUGGGGUGAAGUCGUAACAAGGUA